UUUUUAAUGCUACGGAUGAAGGCAUCUUGGUUUUUGAGUUUAUCACUUACUUUCGAUGAGAAUUUCGACAUAGUACCGUUCCUGGAAUUGCUGGAGAAAUUGCAAUGGCAAUAUCGCUUCGAUGGAAUACUUUUCGAGCUGAAUGCACUGCGGCGGAAAAUUGUCGAGAUGUCAGCGAAGAGUUUCGAAUAUCGUACCAGUUUCCCCCGAAACCUUAACCAGGUGUCAAAAAAAAGUAGCGACACAUCAUCAUUUUGAACCAAACCAUUUCAUCUGGAAACCGAAGGCAUACAAAAGUUACCUGAAAAUGGUCUAUAGGAAUUUAAAUUAGCCCCGAUAGUGUUCCGACCGGGGCUGGAAAUGGAGGACGUUCACCUGGAGUAAGAUUUUGACUGAUCAAAUUAAACCCAAUGGCAUGCACUCAGGAAGGGGUUAAUGGCAAACUUCUUACGAAACAUUGAUCAUAGUUCCUUAACAAUUUUCGGCGCGACGAAAAGGAUAUCCGGGACCGUUGAGCCCUAUUUCCAACGAGCCAAGGAACUGAAACGGGUCCAGUGGGAGGCUGAAGAGCACCAUGGUUCCAUUGCAGAUGAAAUAUGUCAAAGGUCAAAAUCAGCAACAGAAGAUAGUUGCAAAAUAUGUCUAUCAAGUUUCGAACUUAAAUUAUCACACCAAAAGAUGUAAGAUAAUUUCGAGGCCAAUAUUGAUCCAAAUCCCAAGAGCCGCAUAUCACAUUUUCCAGUCGCGAAUGGUGCUAAUAAACCCUUGUACAAAGCAGCGGAAUUUUGUGGUGCAGCAAGCACUGU